GCGGGAAUAGCUCAGUUGGUAGAGCAUAACCUUGCCAAGGNNGUUGGGGUCGCGAGUUCGAGUCUCGUUUCCCGCUCCA
rnacentral:tRNA from 1 species